AUGCUUACUUCAGCAUCACAUAUACUAUAAUUAGAAUGAUACAGAAAAUUUAGUAUGGACCCUACACAAGGAUGACAUGCAAAUAUGUGAGGCAUUCCAUUAAUGA
ensembl:snRNA U6 U6 spliceosomal RNA